UUCACUUCACUGAAUCAAAGAUGUCCAACAACCUGCUUUACCUUCUGUUUUUACUGGCCUUUGCAAGAGUGAAAGGUCAGAAUUUGGAGUCCAUUUCUUCUGUAGCAGAGGUAAAGCCUGGAGAAGCUCUGAGUCUUUCCUGUAGAGGAUCAGGAUUUACUUUCGGAAGCUACGACAUGCACUGGGUCAGACAGCAACCUGGAAAAGCACUGGUGUGGAUGGGCCGUGUUUGGAGUAAUGGACAAGGACAAGACUAUGCUAAAAGUUUUGAGGGACGAAUAGAAAUUACUAGAGACAAUUCAAAAACCAUGGUGUAUCUGAAACUGUCUGGACUCACAGAAGAGGACUCAGCUGUGUAUUACUGUGCAAGGCAAGCACAGUGACACAAACCUGUGUGCAAAUGAUAC